GAUGAACGCUGGCGGUAUGCUUAACACAUGCAAGUCGAACGGGGUGCAUAGUCACCUAGUGGCGGACGGGUGAGUAACGCGUGAGAAUCUGGCCUCAGGUCCGGGACAACCACGGGAAACGGUGGCUAAUACCGGAUGUGCCAUAUUGGUGAAAGAUUAAUUGCCUGAGGAUGAGCUCGCGUCUGAUUAGCUAGUUGGUGGGGUAAAGGCUUACCAAGGCGACGAUCAGUAACUGGUCUGAGAGGAUGACCAGUCACACUGGGACUGAGACACGGCCCAGACUCCUACGGGAGGCAGCAGUGGGGAAUUUUCCGCAAUGGGCGAAAGCCUGACGGAGCAAUACCGCGUGAGGGAGGAAGGCUCUUGGGUUGGAAACCUCUUUUCUCAGGGAAGAAGAAUGACGGUACCUGAGGAAUCAGCAUCGGCUAACUCCGUG
rnacentral:rRNA from 1 species